CACACACACACACACACACACACACACACACACAUUCGUACGCACUGAAACAACUUCCGUACCUCACGAAAACAUAUUUAAACAGAUGGAAAAAACUAUCGCAGAACACAGUGUCACGUAGCAACUGGUCUUUACGGUCGUUUGAAUCAACAGGUCAGUUUGGGGGACAAAAGGAGGGUUCAGUUUUUACUGACUUCCCAUCUGACAGUUUAAAUGUUUAUGACCGUUUGAAUCAACAGGACACGCACGCACACACACACACACGCACGCACACACACACACACACACACAUACACACACACACGCACACACACACACACACACACACACACACACACACACCAUUACCUCUGCUUUACCAUGUUAUUAGACAUUGGUUUAACUCCAUUUAAGCAUUUAAACGUUAAAAGCAUUGCACUUGUACGACGUUGUAAUACUUUUUUUUUACCAGCCGAUGACGACGAAGUGAAAGACGAUGAACUUUGCUUAAACAGUCUUACAAAGUUGGAAGAUGAUUAUCGAGGUGUGUUUAAACCUUCGAAUUAUUUAAUAUUGUGUGUAUUCAUUAUUUUGUUUUAUAGAGGAUUUGCCGUAAGAUCCUAACGCGAUCGUUUUAACACAAUCGCAGUCUGCUGGCGGGUCCGUCAACGGCCGUUCCAGGCAGAGGAGAAGGCUUGAUUGUGCCAAAGACUCCAGACAUCGAAUCCUUGCUCCGAGGGGAAAUCAUCGAAAACGACGGUGAAUGUCCAACAGGCACCCGCUAUUGGUAACACUGGACAAGUCGGAUAUCCUUGCUUGGAUCCUUUUAAAGUUGCCCGAUAAACUGCUGAGAGUUGAUCUCUCCUCUUGUCCAAAGGUUUUUCGUUCAUUUUUACUUGUAAUACUGGCACUAGGGUUGAUGUAGUAGCUCCACAACAUAACCUUAAAGCCUGUGACUGGAUCCGGUCUAUUUUCCCAAGUCAUGUUUUUGAAGCAGAUUGGUAAAUAAUGCAUCCGUAAUCAAUAACAGAUGGAAUUAAAGUUAUAAA